rnacentral:tRNA from 1 species
GCGGCAAUAGCUUAGUGAUAGAGCCCCCGCUUCGCGUGCGGGGAGACCCGGGUUCGAUUCCCGGCUGCUUCC